GAGAUAACUCCUACGGGAGGCAGCAGUGGGGAAUAUUGGACAAUGGGCGGAAGCCUGAUCCAGCAAUACCGCGUGUGUGAAGAAGGCCUUAGGGUUGUAAAGCACUUUCAAUUGGGAGGAAAACCUGCCGGUCAAUACCCGGUAGCUUGACAUUACCUUUAGAAGAAGCACCGGCUAACUCCGUGCCAGCAGCCGCGGUAAUACGGAGGGUGCGAGCGUUAAUCGGAAUUACUGGGCGUAAAGCGUGCGUAGGCGGUUCGUUAAGUCAGAUGUGAAAGCCCUGGGCUCAACCUGGGAACGGCAUUUGAAACUGGCGGGCUAGAGUUUAGUAGAGGGGAGUGGAAUUUCAGGUGUAGCGGUGAAAUGCGUAGAUAUCUGAAGGAACACCAGUGGCGAAGGCGACUCCCUGGACUAGAACUGACGCUGAGGUACGAAAGCGUGGGUAGCAAACAGGAUUAGAAACCCUAGUAGUCCUCCACU
rnacentral:rRNA from 1 species